rnacentral:rRNA from 1 species
UAGUCCACGCCGUAAACGAUGAUUACUCGCUGUAGGCGAUACACAGUCUGUGGCUAAGCGAAAGUUUUAAGUAAUCCACCUGGGGAGUACGAUCGCAAGAUUGAAACUCAAAGGAAUUGACGGGGGCCCGCACAAGCGGAGGAACAUGUGGUUUAAUUCGAUGAUACGCGAGGAACCUUACCUGGACUUAAAUGUGCGUUGCAUAGAUCAGAGAUGGUCUUUUCUUCGGACUACGUACAAGGUGCUGCAUGGUUGUCGUCAGCUCGUGCCGUGAGGUGUCGGGUUAAGUCCCGCAACGAGCGCAACCCCUAUCCCUAGUUGCCAGCAUUUAGUUGGGGACUCUAGGGAAACUGCCUGCGCAAGCAGAGAGGAAGGCGGGGAUGACGUCAAAUCAUCAUGGGCCUUUAUGUCCAGGGGCUACACACGUGCUACAAUGGACGAUACAAAGGGUAGCGACACUGCGAAGUGAAGCCAAUCCCAAAAAAGUCGUUCUCAGUUCGGAUUGGA